rnacentral:rRNA from 1 species
AUUGAACGCUGGCGGCAUGCCUUACACAUGCAAGUCGAACGGUAACAGGUCUUCGGAUGCGGACGGGUGGCGAACGGGUGAGUAAUACAUCGGAACGUGCCCGAUCGUGGGGGAUAACGAAGCGAAAGCUUUGCUAAUACCGCAUACGAUCUACGGAUGAAAGCAGGGGACCGCAAGGCCUUGCGCGAACGGAGCGGCCGAUGGCGGACUAGGUAGUUGGUGGGAUAAAAGCGUACCAAGCCGACGAUCUGUAGCUGGUCUGAGAGGACGACCAGCCACACUGGGACGGAGACACGGCCCAGACUCCUACGGGAGGCAACAGUGGGGAAUUUUGGACAAUGGGCGAAAGCCUGAUCCAGCCAUGCCGCGUGCAGGAUGAAGGCCUUCGGGUUGUAAACUGCUUUUGUACGGAACGAAAAGACUCUGGUUAAUACCUGGGGUCCAUGACGGUACCGUAAGAAUAAGCACCGGCUAACUACGUGCCAGCCGCCGCGGUAACAC